CCUAGGGAGGCAGCAGUGGGGAAUAUUGGACAAUGGGCGAAAGCCUGAUCCAGCCAUGCCGCGUGUGUGAAGAAGGCCUUCGGGUUGUAAAGCACUUUCAGUGGGGAAGAAAGCCUUGGGGCUAAUACCCUCGAGGAAGGACAUCACCCACAGAAGAAGCACCGGCUAACUCCGUGCCAGCAGCCGCGGUAAUACGGAGGGUGCGAGCGUUAAUCGGAAUUACUGGGCGUAAAGCGCGCGUAGGCGGUCUGAUAAGCCGGUUGUGAAAGCCCCGGGCUCAACCUGGGAACGGCAUCCGGAACUGUCAGGCUAGAGUGCAGGAGAGGAAGGUAGAAUUCCCGGUGUAGCGGUGAAAUGCGUAGAGAUCGGGAGGAAUACCAGUGGCGAAGGCGGUCUUCUGGACUGACACUGACGCUGAGGUGCGAAAGCGUGGGUAGCAAACAGGAUUAGAUACCCGGGUAGUC
rnacentral:rRNA from 1 species